CGUGCAGGCGACGGGAGCGCGCGCUCCUCCGGGACUGGAUGGCAUUUAGAUGGUGGAUUCGGGGCGCCCUCAUUAAACUGCCAAUGACUGAAAUAUGUCUUUGUCUCGCCGUGUCGCCGAGUAAUAAAGCCACCGAAUUCUUCAGCACAGCUGCGCGUUAUUGCGCGCUCUCAGCUGGACGGGGGUAUGUCUCCCCCCUUUCCUCUCCUCCGCCGCUACUAAUUGACAAACGAGAGAAGGAAACGUUAUUACUGUCCCCUCAUCUGAGGGGCAAAUGAUUUUAGGCGCUGAGGACGAUGAUGUAGUGUUUUGUUUACAUCCGCCUUAAUAGCUCAACUCGUUUCUCAAUUAUAUUUUUAAACGAAAGACAGUCGCAAGCCAAAGGCGAAAUUCUCCCAUUUCCACAAACGCCCAUCAAACUUCCAUUUGCAGCAUUGUAUCGUUUAAGAAUGAGAACUCCUGUAGUCUUUUCCCCAGAGAGAGAAUCUUUCACUUAGCCUUUCUUGUGAAGGGCAGGAUUUGAUUACCAGGCUGAUGCAGCCAGCAGAUGUUGCCUCUGCUGCCAGGCCCUUGAGCGGUGCUAGGGGUAAAAGAUGCAUGGUGACCAUGGUGAUGAGAUCGGGAUGCUGCAGCUUUUGAUACCUUACUGUCACUGGAAAAAGGUGCCAAGGAGGAGUAGGAGGAGGAGGAGGCAUGACAAUCACACCUGCAGCUGCUGUCACUGAUAUAAUGAAGCAAUGGUCCAGUCUGACAGAAAUCCUUCGGGAGUUUUGGCCCGUUAGAUUUACCUUUUGAUUAUCAUCUCCUUUUAUUCGAAGUGAACUGUUAUUUUUGAAGUUUUGGUUGAUUUUGUUCCCAUUUGCUUUGCUUUUCAUUAGCUGUAUUGUUGUGUUUGUUGCAUUAGGAACACGUUUUCUUAAUUUAUUGUAAAAAUUUAGGAUUAAAAGUGCAAACCCUU